rnacentral:rRNA from 1 species
AGCGAACGCUGGCGGCAGGCCUAACACAUGCAAGUCGAGCGGGCACCGCAAGGUGUCAGCGGCAGACGGGAGAGUAACACGUGGGAACGUGCCCUUCGGUUCGGAAUAACUCGGGGAAACUCGUGCUAAUACCGAAUACGCCCUUACGGGGAAAGAUUUAUCGCCGAUGGAGCGGCCCGCGUCUGAUUAGCUAGUUGGUGAGGUAAUGGCUCACCAAGGCGACGAUCAGUAGCUGGUCUGAGAGGAUGAUCAGCCUCACUGGGACUGAGACACGGCCCAGACUCCUACGGGAGGCAGCAGUGGGGAAUAUUGGACAAUGGGCGCAAGCCUGAUCCAGCCAUGCCGCGUGGAUGAUGAAGGCCUUAGGGUUGUAAAGUCCUUUUAACGGGGAAGAUAAUGACAGUCCCCGUAGAAUAAGCCCCGGCUAACUUCGUGCCAGCAGCCGCCGUAA